GUGGGGAAUAUUGGACAAUGGGCGCAAGCCUGAUCCAGCCAUGCCGCGUGAGUGAUGAAGGCCUUAGGGUUGUAAAGCUCUUUCAGUAGGGAAGAUAAUGACGGUACCUACAGAAGAAGCCCCGGCUAACUUCGUGCCAGCAGCCGCGGUAAUACGAAGGGGGCUAGCGUUGUUCGGAUUUACUGGGCGUAAAGCGCACGUAGGCGGAUUGGUCCGUUCGAGGUGAAAUCCCGAAGCUCAACUUCGGAACUGCCUUUAAUACUGCCAGUCUCGAGUCCGGAAGAGGUGAGUGGAACUCCUAGUGUAGAGGUGGAAUUCGUAGAUAUUAGGAAGAACACCAGUGGCGAAGGCGGCUCACUGGUCCGGUACUGACGCUGAGGUGCGAAAGCGUGGGGAGCAAACAGGAUUAGAAACCCCAGUAGUCC
rnacentral:rRNA from 1 species